UCGAGGGGCAGCAUAGAAGUUUGCUUGCAAACUUCCGAUGGCGACCGGCGCACGGGUGAGUAACACGUAUCCAACCUGCCGAUAACUCGGGGAUAGCCUUUCGAAAGAAAGAUUAAUAUCCGAUAGCAUAUCAAGGUCGCAUGAUCUUGAUAUUAAAGAAUUUCGGUUAUCGAUGGGGAUGCGUUCCAUUAGUUAGUUGGCGGGGUAACGGCCCACCAAGACAACGAUGGAUAGGGGUUCUGAGAGGAAGGUCCCCCACAUUGGAACUGAGACACGGUCCAAACUCCUACGGGAGGCAGCAGUGAGGAAUAUUGGUCAAUGGACGAGAGUCUGAACCAGCCAAGUAGCGUGAAGGAUGACUGCCCUAUGGGUUGUAAACUUCUUUUAUAUGGGAAUAAAACAGGGUAUGGAUACCCUCUUGUAUGUACCAUAUGAAUAAGGAUCGGCUAACUCCGUGCCAGCAGCCGCGGUAAUACGGAGGAUCCGAGCGUUAUCCGGAUUUAUUGGGUUUAAAGGGAGCGUAGGUGGAUUGUUAAGUCAGUUGUGAAAGUUUGCGGCUCAACCGUAAAAUUGCAGUUGAAACUGGCAGUCUUGAGUACAGUAGAGGUGGGCGGAAUUCGUGGUGUAGCGGUGAAAUGCUUAGAUAUCACGAAGAACUCCGAUUGCGAAGGCAGCUCACUAGACUGCAACUGACACUGAUGCUCGAAAGUGUGGGUAUCAAACAGGAUUAGAUACCCUGGUAGUCCACACAGUAAACGAUGAAUACUCGCUGUUUGCGAUAUACAGUA
rnacentral:rRNA from 1 species